GACGAACGCUGGCGGCGUGCUUAACACAUGCAAGUCGAACGGAAAGGCCCUGCUUUUGUGUGGUGCUCGAGUGGCGAACGGGUGAGUAACACGUGAGUAACCUGCCCUUGACUUUGGGAUAACUUCAGGAAACUGGGGCUAAUACCGGAUAGGAGCUCCUGCUGCAUGGUGGGGGUUGGAAAGUUUCGGCGGUUGGGGAUGGACUCGCGGCUUAUCAGCUUGUUGGUGGGGUAGUGGCUUACCAAGGCUUUGACGGGUAGCCGGCCUGAGAGGGUGACCGGCCACAUUGGGACUGAGAUACGGCCCAGACUCCUACGGGAGGCAGCAGUGGGGAAUAUUGCACAAUGGGCGGAAGCCUUAUGCAGCAACGCCGCGUGCGGGAUGACGGCCUUCGGGUUGUAAACCGCUUUCGCCUGUGACGAAGCGUGAGUGACGGUAAUGGGUAAAGAAGCACCGGCUAACUACGUG
rnacentral:rRNA from 1 species